CCUGGCGGCACUAGCGCGGUGGUCCCACCUGACCCCAUGCCGAACUCAGAAGUGAAACGCCGUAGCGCCGAUGGUAGUGUGGGGUUUCCCCAUGCGAGAGUAGGGAACUGCCAGGC
rnacentral:rRNA from 42 species